rnacentral:rRNA from 1 species
CGGGGGGAGCAAGCGUUGUUCGGAUUUACUGGGCGUAAAGGGCGCGUAGGCGGCGCAACAAGUCACUUGUGAAAUCUCCGGGCUUAACCCGGAGCGGCCAAGUGAUACUGUCGUGCUAGAGUGCGGAAGGGGCUACUGGAAUUCUCGGUGUAGCGGUGAAGUGCGUAGAUAUCGAGAGGAACACCUGCGGCGAAGGCGGGUAGCUGGGCCGACACUGACGCUGAGGCGCGAAAGCCAGGGGAGCGAACGGGAUUAGAUACCCCGGUAGUCCUGGCCUUAAACGAUGGAUGCUUGGUGUCCGGGGUUACAUAGUCCCCGGGUGCCGGCGCUAACGCAUUAAGCAUCCCGCCUGGGGAGUACGGUCGCAAGACUG